rnacentral:rRNA from 1 species
AUUGAACGCUGGCGGCAUGCCUUACACAUGCAAAUCGAACGGUAACGGGCCUUCGGGUGCCGACGAGUGGCGAACGGGUGAGUAAUACAUCGGAACGUGCCCGAUCGUGGGGGAUAACGAGGCGAAAGCUUUGCUAAUACCGCAUACGAUCUACGGAUGAAAGCAGGGGACCGCAAGGCCUUGCGCGGACGGAGCGGCCGAUGGCAGAUUAGGUAGUUGGUGGGGUAAAAGCUUACCAAGCCGACGAUCUGUAGCUGGUCUGAGAGGAUGAUCAGCCACACGGGGACUGAGAGACGGUCCAGAGUCCUACGGGAGGCAGCAGUGGGGAAUAUUGGGCAAUGGGCGCAAGCCUGAUCCAGCCAUGCCGCGUGCAGGAUGAAGGCCUUCGGGUUGUAAACUGAUUUUGUACGGAACGAAAAGCCUUCUUUUAAUACAGGAGGGUCAUGACGGUACCGUAAGAAUAAGCACCGGCUAACUACGUG